GGUAUGGCUUAGUUGGUUAAAGCGUCGGUUUGUGGCACCGAAGAUCGUCGGUUCGAAUCCGACUAUC
rnacentral:tRNA from 1 species